rnacentral:rRNA from 1 species
CUAGAACCUUACCUAGGCUUGACAUCCCGGGAAUUUGCUGGAAACAGUGAAGUGCUUUCAUUAGAAGAGCCCGGUGACAGGUUGCUGCAUGGCUGUCGUCAGCUCGUGUCGUGAGAUGUUGGGUUAAGUCCCGCAACGAGCGCAACCCUCGCCUUUAGUUGCCAGCAUUCAGUUGGGCACUCUAAGGGACUGCCGGUGUCAAACCGGAGGAAGGUGGGAUGACGUCAAGUCCUCAUGGCCUUUAUGUCUAGGGCUACACACGUACUACAAUGGCAGGUACAAAGGGCAGCGACACAGCGAUGUGAUGCGAAUCCCGAAAAGCCUGUCUCAGUCCGGAUCGGAGUCUGCAACUCGACUCCGUGAAGUUGGAAUCGCUAGUAAUCGUGGAUCAGCAUGCCACGGUGAAUACGUUCCCGGGCCUU